rnacentral:rRNA from 1 species
AAUAUUGGUCAAUGGAGGCAACUCUGAACCAGCCAUGCCGCGUGCAGGAUGACGGUCCUAUGGAUUGUAAACUGCUUUUGUACAGGCAGAAAACAUACUACGUGUAGUAAAUUGACGGUACUGUAAGAAUAAGGAUCGGCUAACUCCGUGCCAGCAGCCGCGGUAAUACGGAGGAUCCAAGCGUUAUCCGGAAUCAUUGGGUUUAAAGGGUCCGUAGGCGGCCUUAUAAGUCAGCGGUGAAAGUUUUUGGCUUAACCAAAAAAUUGCCGUUGAUACUGUAGGGCUUGAAUUUUUGUGAAGUAACUAGAAUUUGUAGUGUAGCGGUGAAAUGCUUAGAUAUUACAUGGAAUACCGAUGGCGAAGGCAGCCCCCUGGGAUAAUACUGACGCUCAGACACGAAAGCGUGGGGAGCAAACAG